UAGCUUAGUGGUUAAGGCCAUGGAUCGCCAAUCCGGAGACGGCGGGUUCGAUUCCCGU
rfam:Aedes albopictus isolate Foshan contig63593, whole genome shotgun sequence.